AAUAUUAAAUAUUUUAUUUGAAAACAAACUUAUUCGAUUCAUGUAUACAUAAAGUUUCAUGUUUUACAUACAUAGUCUCCGUAUUUAUACAAUAAUUUUAAGUGUUCUUCUCUACUUAAACCAAUUUAUUGUAAAACUUGUCUAUUAUUAUCAUUAUAAUAUGUACAAUAUCAUGCUAUACAACGUCUCGCCUUCACCUCGAUGAGCUCACCAAUAGUCUGUAGUCGGUAGUAGGUAGU